ACAGAAUUAUGACUAAGUAAAGUUUCUAAUGCGUGAUUACUAUUCAGUAUUUCGUGGAAUAACUUUUCAUCGGCGUUAUACCCAAACUCCUAAGUUGGUUGUAUUUUGCGGACAGGAGCACAGUCUCAACAGAAACUUAGCAAUAUCAAAUUUGAAUGAUAAUAUAAUGGCGUCGAUAAAGUUAGUUUUAGUAGGUUAAGCGUUUUAGAUUUUGACUUUUCUGUCACUUAGUCUUACUGUUAGUGUAAGGUAAACAGUUUCAACUGAGUACGCGUCUCCACAAAUUGCCGUAUGCUAGUGUAGAUUAGAUGAGUAGAGUAGCAUAGUUUACCUGUAGAAAUGGAUGGUGAUGGGAAAAAGGGGUGCAAGUAGUGAGCAUGGUGAAGGUGUAUGUCAUAGUGGUAAUGGUGGUGGUGAUGGGCCAGGUCCUUCAAAGUGAGCCAAGACGGUUCCAAUUUGCAUCAUUCACUGUAUCAAUGAAGAACUCAGCUCUAAUCUGACUACUCCAAAAGACAUUGAAUCUUGGAGAACAUUUUUCCAAGCUGCUGAAUUAUGAAACUACACACUGAUUCUUGCCAUUGUAAAGACAAUAGAAGACACUGUGCCAAACAUUUUAUACCAUAGAAAAUGUCAUAGUUUGUUCACUAUGAAAAAAGAUUUGGAGAAAAUUUGUGCCACAGAAAAUGAAGAUCACAGCAGAGAGAACUUGUCAAAGGGUCCAAGAAUAUUUCUAGAAGAUUCUCUUCAGUGUCUGAACCUUCAUCAAGAGUGUAUGAUCCAGUGUGCAUAUUUGGUCAAAAAAAAGAGCAAGUAUCUGAAAAACAGCAACAGCAGAGAGACAUUGACUCAGUGCAUGGAAUUGAGGUCUGAUGAGGUUGUUAGAAAUGCUGCCACAGACAAGCAAGACACCAGAAUUCUAGCAAUUGCUUGUGGAGAUUUGGUUGCAGCAGAAAACCAAUAUCAUAGGUCAUGUUAUUGUGAAUAUACUAGAAAUAAAUAAAUGCACCUGUCAUCAGAAAACUUUAUUCAACAGACAACAUGUGAUAUUGAGUACUCAAAAGCAGAAACAUUGCUUACGAGGGAAAGUAACUAUCUUGAAAAUCAUCAAGACUCACCCUGAAGAGAAAGAAGCCCUACCUACAGCAGCUUGGUUCUAAAUGGACCCUGAAUACAGAAUUAUUCUAACAGCUAGAAGCAUUUACAUGUCAUGUAUACAAUACCAAAGCAUCAUCAAGGGGUGUCAGUGAGCUGUGAUAUAGAUGUUUCUGUGCAAAGAAGAGGGAAAUUAACUAAUCUUGAAAAUCAUCAAGACUCACCCUGAAGAGAAGGAAGCUCUACCUACAGCAGCUUGGUACUGAAUGGAUCCUGACUACAUAAUUGUUCUAACAGCUAGAAGCAUUUACAUGUCAUGUUUACAAUACCAUAGCAUCAACAAGGGGUGUCAGUGAGCUGUGAUAUAGACGUUUCUGUGCAAAGAAGUGGGGAGAUAAGAGUAGUAACAUUUACCACCUUGUGCUGCUGCUCUCCAUAAACACUGCAUGAGGGCAAACUCCCAAUCUGGAGUAUGGAAAUACUGUCUGGAAAGCUGCACUGAAAUUCCAUCUCCUGUUAGCAAUUGCUGGUGCAUGGAAUUUGAGGAUGGAGAUGGUGGGCUUACAACUUCUGUCAUGCACGUGCUCCAGAGCAUGUAAAAUGUCUACCUGCCCUUGUCUUGCUAAUGGACUUAGAUGCACAGAGAAUUGCAAAAUGAAAUCAUGUACCAAUCAACUCAGUGAUGCUGAAUCUGAUGAUGAUGACUGCCUUGAGGAAAGUUGAAUAAAAAAAUCAGACAUGCAUGGAAUUGGUGGUAUUUCUAGAUCUGGUCGUGUGAGAAAGAAAUCUGCCAAACUGAUGGAAAUGGAAGAUUUCAAUGUACCUGAAAAAGAAGAAAGGCCUUAUAAAAAAUCUAAAUCAUCAGAUGAUUCUGAACAAGAAACUGAGAAGAAAGUAGUUCCAUUGAAAUUACCCAUAAAAGUUCCUCUGGUGACAAUUUCAGUGCCUCCAAGAAAGUCACCUUUGCUGAUUCCUCCAACAAAACAAAUAUUUCUUAGUUCAGAGAAAAAGAAACAUGGAUUAGAAUCUCCUACAAAGAAUCUUAAUUUUAACACCACUUCUCCAAAACUGGUAAACAAAUCUGUUAUUUUCCCUGUUGUUACAAGUAAGUUUCAUGGAUCUGCACUGACAUCUGGAACAAGUUCAAGCUCUUCAUCUGAGUCAGAUGAUUCAUUUGAAGAAGUUCCUGCUCCUGAAGUUUUCAGACAAAUUGAUCAAAGACUUUUACCACCAAAAAAGAAAAUCAACCAAGAAAUGUUGUGGGAGAAACCUGUUGUAACUUUUGGUAUUAAGAAACUGUCAUUGGAUGCAGAGUCACCUCCUCUCAAGAAAAAGAAAAAGAAGAAAAUGAAGAAAAAGUUGGAAAAAGAAAUGAGAGGAGAGAAGUUGAAAGAAAAGAAGAAGAAGAAAAAACAUCUGUAUCAUCCAAAUCAUUUAUGGGCUGUCCAGUCACAUUAGAAUCCAUUCUUAUCCCUAAGACUCAGCAAUUCUCUAAAUCUGAAGAGGUUUUAAGCAGGAAAUCAAAGUCAUCUGUCUGUGGUGUGUCUAAGUCUACCAAAAAUGUUACAUUAGUGAAUGGAAAGAAGGUGAAAGAUCCAAGCAAAGUUAGACCAAUGAGUGCAUACAUGUUAUGGUGUCGUGAAAAUAGAAAGAGGAUUGUGAGGGAGAAUCCACAACUUGAUUUCCACUUGAUCAGCAAAAAAAUGGGUGCUGUGUGGCAAUCCCUUUCAGCCAAAGAGAAGAUGGCAUGGAAAAGAAAAGCAAAACAAUCUGCUAAGCUGCAGAAGAAUGCUCUGGCUAAGGGUGUUACAUUCAUCAGUACAGGGAAGUCGGGCUCUGCUUUAGGACAGUUUGCCAGUUCUGGUGGUGGAGCUAACAGGAAUCAAUCUAAUGUUACUAACAUCAGUUCCAUUUGUGAUCCUAAAACAAAACUCCCGAGAACAACACCGCUUGAUGUCGCUGCUCACUUAAAGCUCCUGGGUGAUUCUCUUAGCAUUAUUGGUCAAAGAUUGACUGAGCAUGAAGGCCAAAUAGCUGUGUCAGGAACCUUGUCAGUAUUGUUGGACUCUACACUUUGUGCACUUGGACCAUUGAUGUGUCUUACAAGCCAAGUUCCUGAGUUGAAUGGAUGUGAACAGAAAUCUCUUGCACAAACCUUAGACAAUAUUGCUUAUGUGAUGCCAGGAUUGUAAAAUUAAUUACAAGGAGUGGUAACACCACAGCAGUACAGUUUUUAAAUUUGAAAGAAGUUCAAUCAAGAUUUGAACUGAAACAGUUUUAAACACACACACACACAGUUAUACACACACACACAUUUUUUCAUCAUCGGUCCUUUCUAAGAUCUCAAGCCAAUUGGAGUGAACAACAAUGCCUCAUUCUCUUAGGACAUGUUCAAGUUUGCUUGAAUUAUUGGGGGAUUUUGGGUUAGCAUAUUCUUUAAUUCACAUUAACACUUUUCUUUUAGUAGAACAAAUACAGCCUUGCUAACAAUAAGGAGCAGUAAAUGUAUGAACUCCAAAUGAUGAAAGUAAAAUCAUAAUUUUGUCCUUAACUCUAAAGAAAAAACUGUAGGUAACAAUUAAGUUUAAAAACACAUCUUAAUUGUACUUACGGAUACACCCUUGAAAUGACGUUUUUCAAAACUCAUUCUUAGUGAUUGAAGACUAUUUAUUCAUGUAGGGUAGACUGAUAACACUACAAACUGAAUUUCAAUACCCGUUGUGGGCACAGUAUAGAUAUCCCAUUGUCUAGCUUUGUGCUUAACAAUAAACAUUCGGUCACUUUGUUUAUUUAAGUAAUUACGAAAUAUUCUAUAAAUUACAAAAAUUGGAAAAUUAUUUUUACACAAGAAUUCCUUGAUGUCAUUAGACUCUCUUGCAAUAUCUCAUAUAUGCUAGAUAAUUUAUAUACAUGAUGAGAAUAUAUUUUCGACUAAAUUUUCUGUAAGAGUAUUUGGAAUGAAACUUGCAAAGUCUGUGAAUGUUUUCCUAUUGUAUAAUUCACAUUCAAAUUGGCCAUUGUUAUUGGUAACUAAAGUGUCCAAAAAUGAAAGUAUAGGAUGCUACUGAUGUACAGUGAAAUUCAUGCUAUAAUGUCUGUUAUUCAAGUAGUGAAUAAUUAGAAAGCUUGAUUGCAGUUUUUGAGGAUGGUGAAGGUGUCAUCAAUAUACCCCAAUAAUAGAAGGGUUUAAACUGUUGUGGGCAAUUUUCUAGCCAUUGGCUUUCUUGAAAACACAUAAAUAGAUUGGCUAAAGAGAGCACCAACCUUGAGCCCAUAACAAUGCUGCCAAUCUAUCGUACAACUUUCCCUUCAAAAGAAAAUAAGAAUUUCUAGUGGCAAAGUUCAUUAAUUUCAAAUUCACAGAUUUCUCAUAUAGAUGGAUGUAAAUCAGAUCAGUACUUAGCUUCUAAAGGUAUAUUUAUAUAGAAUGUUUCUACAUCAAAACUGGCACAGUGUGCAUUACUUUCAAACUUGAAAUGUUUUAUUUCACAAGAAAAAACUUUUUUUUAUAUAUGUAUUCAUUGGUGGUAAACUACUUUAAGGAAUUCAACUAAGAAACCAAUUAAUGCACAAUUGUAGGUUUCAAUGUUAGAAACUAUUGCUUGCAAAGGAAAUAUUCCUUUAUGAAUUUCAGCCAAAACUUGAAACAAUACCUGAAUGACUUCCUUAUGAUCUAAUAUUCAGAUAUUGUUUUUCAUUGAGAAUAUCAUAGUUUUUUUAUUUCAGUAGGUAUCUUUAUAAUUAAGCUUCCCUGUUAUUGUUAAGAUCAUAAUGCAGCUUUUCAAUUUUAAUAGAAUCAUUUACGAUAUCUUCUGCUUUCAUUGAAUAAUCAUCUUUUUCUAAAAUUAUAAUACAAUUUUCUUUUGCUAAUUUGUAAGCAACAAUAUUAUCAGUUUUUCUUAAAAUUUUCAAAGCUUUAAAUUCUUCAGGACUUAAAUAUAGAAAAUGCUUGUAUUCAAUAUUCUAACUAUAAAUAGUAAUCAACAAUAUACCAGUGAUUUGAUCUCUAAUACUACAAGAAAUUGAUAAGAGGUACUACAGAUGGAUUGAAGAGACAAUAAUUCAAAUAAACUGCUCAAACUGUAAUAAAUAAUCCUUAAACUUAAGCCUCUUAGUGAUACAAAAUUUCAGACCAUGAGCUAAACUUUUUCUUUAAACUUCACUCAAAAUGUGCCUUGAAUAAUUAAGUAUGGCAUCAUAAGGAUAUUUAAAAAUGGAUUUUUUUUACCUUACUGUAACCUCAAGAUGUUUAUCUUAACCAAAAGGUUUUUUUCUAAUCUGUAAAAGAAUUUUAUUCUGUGAUUCAGUAAAGUUUGUUUAAAAUGUAUGAAAUCCAAACUACAGACUUGGUUUUGUAACUGAAUUUUUGGUAAUUGCAAAAUUAGAUAAUUCAAUUCAAUAAUUGCUACAGCGUGUUUUUAUAUUCAGUUGCCACUUUGUGCUUGUAUUGUACAUUGCUAUCAGCAGACAUAUAAUGAUCGAAUGAUAAUAAAGAUAAUUUUUCAGUUGCAACUUAUUCAUAGCAGUAUAUUGGAAAAAAAUUCCGUGUGUUUCUAAACGUCUCUCUUACUAUUUGACAUUUGAUUAGUUUGAUGAAUUUUUGAUGAACUUGGAUUUCUUUAUGUCAUUGUGCACUUUUCAUUAUUGUUUCUGAGAUAUGAAUGAGGUUAAUUUGAAUCUUUUACGUCAUUGUGCACCUUUCAUUAUUGUUUCUGAGAUAUGAAUGAGGUUAAUUUGAAUCCUUUACGUCAUUGUGCACCUUUCAUUAUUGUUUCUGAGAUAUGAAUGAGGUUAAUUUGAAUCCUUCAUUUUUAGAAUCUGUCUUCAAGGUAUUUUGUAUGUUUGGAAUAAGAAGUUUUAAACUGGGAUUUUUAUCUGGAUCACACGUCACUACAUCUAACCCAUAAGAUGUCAUUUAUCCAGGGAAUUGAAAUGUGUGCCUUUGUACAAAUGUUCUUACAGUUCAAGUGUUGUAGCACACUUAAGUUACAGAAAGUUUAUGUAUAAUAGCUUUGAGCAUUUAAGGAUUGUUAAAGUACAUCGUAGAGAUAGUUUAUAAUGUGUGUAGGACAGUUUUUAACAUGUUUUAGAUUUAAAAUUACAUUUAAUGUAAAUUUUAUUUUUCAGAUGUUUUGAUGAAAAAUGUCAACAAAACUUGUUAUAAAUACUUAGUUUCAAGAAUUUCUGCUAUUUAUGAUUAUCAUUUGUGUUUAAUAUUUUGUCGUUGCAUGUAGUUGGAUUUAAUUGUUUUGUUCAAUGUGUAUCAUUCCAUGUUAACUGACUUAUCUUAUUCAUUCAGCAGUUUUUAGAUGUAACUCUUAUGUGCUUGUGUUACAAACCAUUCAUUGUGCCACAUUAUUUUUCUUUCCUUUGUAAAUAAACGUUUUUAUGCAACAACCA
rnacentral:misc_RNA from 1 species